rnacentral:rRNA from 1 species
GAUGAACGCUGGCGGCGUGCCUAAUACAUGCAAGUCGAGCGAACAGACGAGGAGCUUGCUCCUCUGACGUUAGCGGCGGACGGGUGAGUGACACGUGGAUAACCUACCUAUAAGACUGGGAUAACUUCGGGAAACCGGAGCUAAUACCGGAUAAUAUAUUGAACCGCAUGGUUCAAUAGUGAAAGACGGUUUUGCUGUCACUUAUAGAUGGAUCCGCGCCGCAUUAGCUAGUUGGUAAGGUAACGGCUUACCAAGGCAACGAUGCGUAGCCGACCUGAGAGGGUGAUCGGCCACACUGGAACUGAGACACGGUCCAGACUCCUACGGGAGGCAGCAGUAGGGAAUCUUCCGCAAUGGGCGAAAGCUUGACGGAGCAACGCCGCGUGAGUGAUGAAGGUCUUCGGAUCGUAAAACUCUGUUAUUAGGGAAGAACAAAUGUGUAAGUAACUAUGCACGUCUUGACGGUACCUAAUCAGAAAGCCACGGCUAACUACGU